UCGAACGAUGAAGCUGGAGCUUGCUCCGGUGGAUUAGUGGCGAACGGGUGAGUAACACGUGAGCAAUCUGCCCUUGACUCUGGGAUAACUGCGGGAAACUGUAGCUAAUACCGGAUACGACGCCUUGGGGCAUCCCACGGGCGUGGAAAGAAUUUUGGUCAAGGAUGAGCUCGCGGCCUAUCAGCUAGUUGGUGAGGUAAUGGCUCACCAAGGCGACGACGGGUAGCCGGCCUGAGAGGGUGACCGGCCACACUGGGACUGAGACACGGCCCAGACUCCUACGGGAGGCAGCAGUGGGGAAUAUUGCGCAAUGGGCGAAAGCCUGACGCAGCAACGCCGCGUGAGGGAUGAAGGCCUUCGGGUUGUAAACCUCUUUUAUCAGGGAAGAAGCGAAAGUGACGGUACCUGAAGAAAAAGCACCGGCUAACUACGUGCCAGCAGCCGCGGUAAUACGUAGGGUGCAAGCGUUAUCCGGAAUUAUUGGGCGUAAAGAGCUCGUAGGCGGUUUGUCGCGUCUGCUGUGAAAAUCUGAGGCUCAACCUCGGACUUGCAGUGGGUACGGGCAGACUAGAGUGCAGUAGGGGAGAAGGGAAUUCCUGGUGUAGCGGUGGAAUGCGCAGAUAUCAGGAGGAACACCAAUGGCGAAGGCACUUCUCUGGGCUGUAACUGACGCUGAGGAGCGAAAGCGUGGGGAGCGAACAGGAUUAGAUACCCUGGUAGUCCACGCGCGUAAACGUUGGGCGCUAGAUGUGGGUCACAUUCCACGUGAUCCGUGUCGCAGCUAACGCAUUAAGCGCCC
rnacentral:rRNA from 1 species